rnacentral:lncRNA from 1 species
AGUUUUUUUAUUACAUGGAUUUUGAAAAUCUCAUGGAUACAUAUAAUAUUUUGAAAGUUGAGUCUUAUGAGUAAAAAUGAAUAGAAUUCAUCUCCCAAUAACGCUAAAUUUAGUUAGAAUCAAAGAAUCAAUAAUAACUAAACUUUUUGAAUAACAAGGGGUUUGAAUGGACUUUGAAAAUUCUUAAACUAAUAACAAUGGAUUUUAAAAGACUUUUGAAAUCUAAAAACUAAUAACAACGAGAUCUCAAAAUUUUCAAAAUUCAUUAGAUUCACUUACCAAUAACCCCCCUAAACAGAAACUUCAGUUUUCUUUAAGAAGGUAAUUUAUUUCUAUAAUUUAUCUAAAAAUGAACCCACAUGAAGAAGGCAAGAAAUUUUUCAUUUUUGGCGUAUGAUAUGACGUGGCAUUAUGGAGCUUGUCUAUUCGUUAAUUUUUAAGACCACAUGGCCAGGUUGAGAGUUGAUUAUAUUGGCCUUUUAUCAUAAGGUUAGUUUUUAAUUCACAUCUUUAUCACCUUAAAUAGAUGUCAAUUUAUUUUUUUCUUUUAAAUAUUUAACUAUUUUUCUCGGGAUUAUAAUGUGCCCGUAGGUACUAGUUUGUGGGAGCAACGACAGACUACGAGUGUUUUGAAAACUGGACCGGACCGAUCCGACCAUAAAUCAUUGAAGAAGCCGAGUCUGAUCCAGUUUAAA